rnacentral:rRNA from 1 species
GUGAUGCUAAUCUCCAAACCAUGUCUCAGUUCGGAUCGGAGUCUGCAACUCGACUCCGUGAAGCUGGAUUCGCUAGUAAUCGCGCAUCAGCCAUGGCGCGGUGAAUACGUUCCCGGGCCUUGUACACACCGCCCGUCAAGCCAUGGGAGCCGGGGGUACCUGAAGUCCGUAACCGCGAGGACCGGCCUAGGGCGAAACUGGUAACUGGGGCUAAGUCGUAACAAGGUACC